rnacentral:rRNA from 1 species
CCUGCCCCUGACUCUGGGAUAAGCGGUGGAAACGCCGUCUAAUACCGGAUACGACCUUCCGCCUCAUGGUGGAGGGUGGAAAGUUUUUUCGGUCAGGGAUGGGCUCGCGGCCUAUCAGCUUGUUGGUGGGGUAACGGCCUACCAAGGCGAUUACGGGUAGCCGGCCUGAGAGGGCGACCGGCCACACUGGGACUGAGACACGGCCCAGACUCCUGCGGGAGGCAGCAGUGGGGAAUAUUGCGCAAUGGGCGAAAGCCUGACGCAGCGACGCCGCGUGGGGGAUGACGGCCUUCGGGUUGUAAACCUCUUUUACCACCAACGCAGGCUCCGGGUUCUCUCGGGGUUGACGGUAGGUGGGGAAUAAGGACCGGCUAACUACGUGCCAGCAGCCGCGGUAAUACGUAGGGUCCGAGCGUUGUCCGGAAUUAUUGGGCGUAAAGAGCUCGUAGGCGGCGUGUCGCGUCUGCUGUGAAAGACCGGGGCUUAACUCCGGUUCUGCAGUGGAUACGGGCAUGCUAGAGGUAGGUAGGGGAGACUGGAAUUCCUGGUGUAGCGGUGAAAUGCGCAUAUAUCAGGAGGAACACCGGUGGCGAAGGCGGGUCUCUGGGCCUUACCUGACGCUGAGGAGCGAAAGCAUGGGGAGCGAACAGGAUUAGAUACCCUGGUAGUCCAUGCCGUAAACGUUGGGCGCUAGGUGUGGGGACUUUCCACGGUUUCCGCGCCGUAGCUAACGCAUUAAGCGCCCCGCCUGGGGAGUACGGCCGCAAGGCUAAAACUCAAAGGAAUUGACGGGGGCCCGCACAAGCGGCGGAGCAUGUUGCUUAAUUCGACGCAACGCGAAGAACCUUACCAAGGUUUGACAUCACCCGUGGACCUGUAGAGAUACAGGGUCAUUUAGUUGGUGGGUGACAGGUGGUGCAUGGCUGUCGUCAGCUCGUGUCGUGAGAUGUUGGGUUAAGUCCCGCAACGAGCGCAACCCUUGUUCCAUGUUGCCAGCACGUAAUGGUGGGGACUCAUGGGAGACUGCCGGGGUCAACUCGGAGGAAGGUGGGGACGACGUCAAGUCAUCAUGCCCCUUAUGUCUUGGGCUGCAAACAUGCUACAAUGGCCGGUACAAUGGGCGUGCGAUACCGUAAGGUGGAGCGAAUCCCUUAAAGCCGGUCUCAGUUCGGAUUGGGGUCUGCAACUCGACCCCAUGAAGGUGGAGUCGCUAGUAAUCGCGGAUCAGCAACGCCGCGGUGAAUACGUUCCCGGGCCUUGUACACACCGC